rnacentral:rRNA from 1 species
CCCUUAGAUGUCCGGGGCCGCACGCGCGCUACACUGAAGGAAUCAGCGUGGCUUUCUCCCUGACCCGAAAGGGUUGGGAAACCCGUUGAAUCUCCUUCGUGAUAGGGAUUGGGGCUUGAAAUUGUUCCCCAUGAACGAGGAAUUCCCAGUAAGCGCGAGUCAUCAGCUUGCGUUGAUUACGUCCCUGCCCUUUGUACACACCGCCCGUCGCUACUACCGAUUGAAUGGUUUAGUGAGAUCCUUGGAUCGGCCCUGUCGCGGCUGGCAACGGCCGCGUCGGCGCGUCGAGAAGACGAUCAAACUUGAUCAUUUAGAGGAAGUAAAAGUCGUAACA